CGAGGCGAGUGGAUCACAAGGUCAGGAGAUCGAGACCAUCCUGGCUAACGCGGUGAAACCCCGUCUCUACUAAAAAUACAAAAAAAUUAGCCGGGCGUGGUGGCGGGCACCUGUAGUCCCAGCUACUCAGAAGGAUGAGGCAGGAGAAUGGCGUGAACCCGGGAGGCGGAGCUUGCAGCGAGCCGAGAUUGCGCCACUGCACUCCAGCCUGGGCGACAGAGCGAGACUCCGUCUCAAAAAAAAAAAAAAAAAAAAAAAAAAAAAAAAAAAAAAAAAUUCAGAAGGUAACUACGGACCUCAUUGGUCUAUUGCUAAUACAGAAUGAGACGAUACAGUGAAAGAACUCUCCAAAUGACAAAGCACGAUCUCCAGCUAAGAGUAUCGCUUCUGUUGCAUCAUAGUGAAGUAGUUCCACAGCUGUUUCUGCUCAGACUGACUGGUUAAAAUCUUGGCUAUACUGCCAGGAUUUAAGACAUUUUGAAAAUGGGCAAAGCCUCAUUUUUCCUAGGUCAAAAGGAGUUCAAGGUUGGGGAAAUCUGAGGAUUCAGAAGGAUGAUAAAUGUUAGAACAUGGAAUCAGGGUGCUUAGACUCUUGGUGCCUCAAUUUCUCUGUCAGUUAAAUGCCAUAUGAUAAAAUGACUUAUCUCAUUGGCUUGAUGUGAGAAAGAAAUGACUACAUAUAAUGAUCAGCAACAUUCCUGGCACAUAGUAAACAUCGAUAUAUUAUUAUUAAUACCUCCACCUACUCUAUAUACUGACUCCCUAUCCUUCCUCUCUUCCUCCUUCCCUGGAUCUUAAAAGAUGAGUGUGAUUAGAAACAAAAUUUUAUUGUGAUAAAGUCCACCUGAAUGUUCCCUCAGAUAUUAACUAAAUCUCUUUCAUAUGCAUCCUUUGGACAAAAGUCUCUUCCUUUUUGCUAGGAAUUGUCUCAUUUCUUUUCCUCCUGCUUUAGGAAAAAAAAAAAAAAAAAAAGCAUGUGCAAGAAUUAUUUCUUCUUCUCCCCGGAUGUCACCAGCACUAACACCUGUCCUAGUUCCAGCUCUGGUGAACUCCAGCAGAACUGCUCAAGUGGACAGCAUUAGGAACCUUGUCAGUUUUGCAGUGCUUUUUGCCUGAAGCCACCUCAGGUCCCUCAUGCUGCAGCAACAUGAUUGAUGACUCUGUUGAAGAAUGUGAAGGAGCAAGUCUCUCAAUUGGCUAAUUGAAUCAAGCUCUGG